rnacentral:lncRNA from 1 species
AACUCUAAAACAUGGAAUCAUUUUGAAUGUAGAGACAGAAGUGGUAUAUAAAAAGAAAAUGCCUUAAUUUUAAGUCUGCCAGUAGGUGCUUGAGGUGCGAGGUCUUAAGUGAAAUUCACUUUGACACGAAAGAAAACCAGCAAGAGACUAAACAUUUUGCCAAGUCCACAUAUCAAAUACUAUAUUUUAAUUAGAUAAUACAGUAAUAAUCCAACAGAUUUACCAUAAUGCUUUGAACCUUUAAAAGGUCAAACACAAAGAUGUAAAGGAGAACUACUGAAGAUGGCUUUCAUAAACUUCGUGCAGGUUGAUUUAAAACCAAAAUCAAAGGAAGAAACACUUCGACUCCACGCAAAACUCAACCACACUCCAUAAUUUAAAACCAAAAUCAAAGGAAGAAACUAAAUAUUUUUUUUCGGUGAAUUUUUCUGAUUUUUUUCGAAAUAAACGAAGUCUCGAACAAAAAUGAAACUCAAACUAUUUUUUGUAUUUUUGCUUUUCUGGAAUGCCAAUCGAACAUGAAAAGAAAAAUCGGAAAAAAGCAGAAAACCAAUAACCCUCGAAUCAAACCCGAAUUUUUCUCCUCAAACUUUUCUCUCUAACUUUUUUCCAGAAUCCCCCCUCCAUCUGUCUAGACCCAAAUAUAUAGCCCUCUCUCAAAGCUUCUUUUCCCCCCAUCUGCAAGAAGUCGCCAAAAACCCUUCAAAAAUCUGAAAAAUCCCCUAAAUUCCGAAAAUCUCCUUCUUUUUGGUAAAAAUCUGGGCAAGUGGAGGGGUAUGAUUAAUUCUCAUUAAUCAUAUCCUAUCCUUCGUCCAUCGUCUACCGUUGAAAGAGAAUCACGUGUGAUAAAGCAAAAAAAAUGCGGAUUCGAACCAAAAUCAGUUAUAUGUCAGGCCACGUGGAAGAAAUAGAGAAAGAAGAGCGGGACCAUGAGUGAACUCGCCGGAAAACCGGCGAGUUGGAGGCGGGUGGAGGCGGGUGGAGACGGGAAUGGGUGUUGAGGGUGUGGGCGGCUAGUCUUUAGGUUUAGGGUUUGGGGAAGACUAAGGUUUUAUAUGGGUGUGAGGAUUAAUAUGGGUCAUUGGAUUAAGGGGGAUGAAUGGCCGAAAUCAAAAUCUAAAAUGGGGCAGGUCAGAGGGUUAUUUGGGGUUGGGCUGCCCGAUUUUGGGCCUUUCCAUGGCCAAAAUUGGGCUAGAAUUUUUGGAUUUUAAUUCUUUUGAUUCAAUAAGAC